AUACAUAUAUAUAUGUGUGUGUGUGUAUAUAUAUAUAUAUGUAUAUGUGUAUGUGUGUGUGUAUAUAUAUAUACACACACACACACAUAUAUAUAUUCAUCUUAUGUGUGUA
rnacentral:miRNA from 14 species